UCUCCGCGUAACAGCAUUCAACGUCUGAAAGUCGACUGAUUUUGGAAUAGUUUGGUGUAGUUCUUGUUCUUAUGAUCCUGUUAAAAUCAAAAGCGGAAAUUUUCGACUGCGAGUACUUUGGCACAGUAGAGAUAUAGCAUAUUUGAAGGCUGUACGAUUCCAACACAUACGUUUCGACUAGUAAUUCCUGUCCACCUGACCGGAAAGUAUAGCUUCAGUCAGUUGCCGAGCGGAUUCAGGAAGCCGAUGAAAAUCGUUUUUGAUCAAGUGGCUACGAACAAGUGUUAGCUUAUGGCGAGUUCAGUGAUUGUCUGAAGGACGGAUCAAUCCCUAUAUUGAUCGUAAAUAUAGCGAUGAAAGGCUAAAAAAGAUAUUCAGAGGUAAUGUUAUGACAAGAGGCAGUCAUCCAAGCCAACUUGGCCAAGCUUAUUGACCAGAAUCGCUGAAUCUGCAGUGGAAAUUGCUUCGUCGCUAAGCCAGCAUCAAUGCACCCUGAAUGAUCAUUAUCAGGUGGGGAAUGACCCGGAAAGCUUCUCCUUCAGGCCCUCGUUGCACUCGCCAUUGGUCAACAUUUGUUUGCAGCCACAUGAUCUUAAAUGACUUUCUACCGGCUCCCUGGAUCCGUUCGGCAGCUCCCUGAAGUUAUGUUCUCCAGUCAUGUGGUCAGGAAUAACUAGUUAAUAUCGUAUAUGUCGGAAUCGUUCAGCGUUCAAACAUGCCAUAUAUCCACUGUAUCGAAGUAAUCGCAGUCGGGGAACAUCCGCAUUUAAUUUUUGCAGGAUCCAUGGAACAAGAAUUGUACCCAAAGAUAUCUAAAGCAGCUGCAUUUUAGAUCUGGUAACCUGCUACACGGGGAGCCAAACUCGACUGACUCGGAACUAAAAAAAAAAAAACCUUCAAAAUAAUCUAAAAUUAAUGCUUGAGAACUAACUAAAUAAAUUGAAAUAUUAAUUAAAUUUCUAUAGAGCUUAAAUCAUAAUCAUCUCUGUUAUUAUUGCAAUCUGAUUUUAAAUAUAUUAAUAAAUCUGGUAGCAACAAAAACAAAA